GUGUGUGUGUGUGUGUGUGUGUGUGUGUGUAUGUAUAUAUAUAUAUAUAUAUAUAUAUAUAUAUAUAUAUACGCGUGCACACACACACUGACAC